ACACGAACCGGACAAACGUUAUUCGGAAUUAUUGGGCUUAAAGGGUGCGUAGGCGGCGCGGUAAGUGAGGUGUGAAAGCCCACGACUCAAUCGUGGAAUUGCGCUUCAUACUGCCGUGCUAGAGGGAGACAGAGGUAAGCGGAACUGAUGGUGGAGCGGUGAAAUGCGUUGAUAUUAUCAGGAACACCGGUGGCGAAGGCGGCUUACUGGGUCUCUUCUGACGCUGAGGCACGAAAGCUAGGGUAGCGAACGGGAUUAGAUACCCCAGUAGUCC
rnacentral:rRNA from 1 species